AUGCAAGUGUUUUUGAAGCUUUGCCUCGGUCUCGUAUUGCUUGUAGCAAAGUAUGCACCUGGAACUGCGGUUCCUAGUUUAGAUUGCCGAAGGCAGUGUGGUACCGUUGAGAUACCGUACCCAUUCGGUAUCGGACUGGACUGCUCACUCUCUCAAGGCUUCAACAUCAGUUGCAAGGUCCAAGAUGGCGUCUCCAAGCCAUUCAAAGGCGACUUUGAGGUGGUGGACAUUUCCUUGACUCAUGGCACGAUCCGGGUGCUAAAUUACAUCACGGCCUACUGUUACAACACCUCUACAACGAGCAUGAAGUUUUUCGGCCGUCGUGGCUAUGUAGGUCGACCUUCCUCCCUCUACCGGCUCUCUGACGUUCAGAACAGGUUCACCGUCAUCGGGUGCAACGCCCUCGCCUUUAUCUCCGACUACAAUGGCACUGGAUAUCAGGGCUUGGGUGUCGCAACGUGCCGCAACUUGUCAGACUUAGCAGACGGAUUUUGCUCUGGUAUGGGCUGCUCCCAGACUGCAAUACCAAAGAGGAUGUUUUACUACGACACAACCUUCUUGAGAGCGGUCAACACAAGUGAAAUCUGGGAGUUCAACCGUUGCAGCUAUGCGGUACUGAUGGAGGCAGCGGCAUUCAAGUUCAGUACUACUUACAUAAACACCAACAAUUUCAAUGACACAUAUAAUGGAAGGGUGCCUAUGGUUCUUGAUUGGGCUAUGAGAGAUGUGAAGUCAUGUGAUGUUGCAAAACAGAAUAUGACUGGUGCUUAUGCAUGCCUUAGCACCAACAGUAAGUGUGUGGAUUCCACCAAUGAUCAAGGGUACACAUGCAAUUGCACCAAUGGUUAUGAAGGCAACCCUUAUCUUCAAGACGGAUGCAAAGGUAUGGAUUAACAUUGAGUGUCACUGUAUAUAUGCACUAAUGCUCAUCAAACUGCACCUUGGAUAGUAUAUAUGCACUAAUGAUCAUCAAAAGCAAGACCUCUACAUUACUUACAAGUUACAACUAUAAUAUUAUGUGUCUUACUUACAACUAUAAUCUUUUGCUUUGCUAAUUUUCUGCAGAUGUUAAUGAAUGCAGUCACGACCCAUGCCCUUCAGAUGGUUAUUGUCAAAAUAUCGUUGGAGAAUACCGGAGUUAUAAUGGGAUUAUUCGGCCUGAUGGUUAUCAUCAUGAUCAUUGUCUUCUGGGGACAGAUGAGAAUUCAAAUGAGAAAACUUAACAAAGUUAAGCAGGAGUAUUUUCGCCAGCAUGGAGGCUUGAUUUUGUUUGAUAGGAUGAAAUCAGAGAAAGGUCUUGCUUUUACUAUAUUUUCAGAAGCUCAACUCAUACGCGCCACCGACAACUUCAAUAGUAGCAGAAUACUUGGAAAAGGAGGCCAUGGGACAGUCUAUAAAGGGAUAAUAAACAACAUGCCAGUGGCAAUUAAAAGAUGUGCAGUGGUUGAUGAAAGACAAAAGAAGGAAUUCGGCCAAGAGAUGCUCAUUUUAUCUCAAAUCAAUCACAAGCAUGUUGUCAAGCUCUUGGGUUGUUGUCUUGAGGUGGAAGUUCCAAUUCUGGUAUAUGAGUUUGUCCUAAAUGAUACACUGUUCGAGCUUAUCCAUGGCAAGAACCAAGCAUUGCAAAUAUCCUUCAGUUCUCUCUUAAGGAUUGCUCAUGAAGCAGCUGAAGGACUUAACUUCCUCCAUUCAUUUGCAUCUCCCCCAAUAAUUCAUGGUGAUGUGAAAACUUCCAACAUCUUGCUUGAUGAUAACUAUAUGGCCAAGGUGUCAGACUUUGGAGCCUCCAUACUAGCCCCAUCUGACAAAGAGCAGUUUGUCACAAUGGUUAAAGGUACUUGUGGUUACCUUGAUCCAGAAUACAUGCAAACAUGCCAGUUAACAGACAAAAGCGAUGUGUAUAGCUUUGGAGUUAUCCUUUUAGAGAUUCUCACGGGUCAGUUGCCACUAAAGCUCGAGGGGUCUGAGAAGCAAAGAAGCUUGGCAUUGAUUUUCUUGUCUGCAAUGAAGGAGAAUAACCUAAAUGAUGUGCUGGUUAGCCAUGUAAAAGGCCAACAAAGCACGGAGUUGCUGACGGGACUUGCAGACCUCGCUAAGAAAUGCCUAGAUAUGUGUGGUGACAACAGACCAUCUAUGAAAGAGGUCGCUGAUGAGCUCAACAGAAUGAGGAAACUUUCACUGCAUCCUUGGGUACGGCUCGAUGUUGAUCCAGAAGCAGAAAACCUUCUUGGACGGGAAUCUACUAGUGGGUAUGAAAUAGAAUUAAGUGGGUAUCCUGUGGGUGAAAGUGAGAACCAACCCAUAAAUCCAAGAAGUUCAUAUUAUGCAAGGUGA
rnacentral:rRNA from 1 species